AGCUUUUAAAAUAAUACACAGGUUCAAAUAUUAUUUAUUUUUUACUUCAAACGUGUGGUGGCCGUGCAACUGGUGCAUAAUUGACAUGUAAAGAAAAUAAAUGAAACUAAACAAGCUUCCGGGGACUGAAAAGGCUCUCGACCAAUUGCGAGGAAGCUGACAGAGUCGGUGUGUAAUAUGCAGCCUCGUGAUUGGUCCAGCAGAGAUAGGGGCGGGGCCUAUUGUGUACAGGAAGCUCCAUUUAUCCCUUUCACUUAAAUAUAUUAUUGGGUUUAUUGGGUUUAAACUUGUCGGGCAAAAUUUGAAAAAUGUCUAAUCAACCAAAGAAUUUGCGCCUAAUAAUAAUAAUAAUAAUAAUAAACCUAUUAUCUCCUCUUUGUUUUUAAUACGGUUCAUUUUAGUUUCCUCCGCUGGAAUACUCAAAUUUUCUGAUCAGACGCUGGUCGGGACGCUGGUCAAAAUGCAUUAAUCAUUAAUACCCUCAGUGGUGGUUUUUCACGAAACGGCGCCCCCUGUCUCUCAGUGAGUGCUCUGCCUUUCCCGUCACUGUUAACUGGAGACCGACUAGAGGUGACAGUUCAUCUGUGAAUACGCUGUGUAAAUAGAAACUGAACCAACGGUAGCUCUCAGAAUGGAAAACCAGUGUUUCAUUUAUUCAUGGCCUGAGCUUUAGCGUCAGCGGCUUGUUUCAUUCCUUUAGCUCGUUUGAUUCCUCAUCGUCUUCCUCGUGCUUUUGCACCUAUGAGCGAACGAACCUGAAGUUUUUAUCUGAUGCCAAAAUGAAGCAAGUUUACUUUCGCUUUAUAUAUAUAUAUAUAUAUAUAUAUAUAUAUAUAAAUAUAAAUAUAUUUUUCCAGGCAGUAUUUUUUUUUAUUUUUAUUUCAGUGUUCCUGCUUUUUUUCUAGAAGCUAGAAUGAGUUUUUCUUUUCGCUUGUGCACUUUUCCAGCAGAUGUGGGUCGGUCACUGUUUACAUGUGUGAGGAAAUCGUUACAGCGACUGAGAAGGAAAUGAACUGAACUCACCGAGCAAACGAGACGGACGUAGUAGUAUUUUCUCAUUCCAUUCAUGUCUCUUGAAGCGUAAACACCUUUCACACAUCUCAUUAGUGCGAAGCCGACCAGGAAGCUCAAACGUUUCCUGCAGAUAAGAAUCUGAGCCAAGACUGAAAUUUCCUGUUUUGCAGGAUACAUGAAAAAUGUGCAUUAAAAUAAAACUGUUCUUGGUCAGUUAUAAUGAACUGGGCAGACAAUUAAAUACCAUUUUAUUUCGUCAGUACGUUUAUAAUCAGCGCCCUGUUGCAGAGUGAAGUUGAAUGAUUUAAGAUUAAAAAGAUUCUCAUGGAUCUUGAUCUGAACUAGAGAAUUAAACGCAGUAAAUAAUAGUUUUGAUUUUAUCUUCCAAUUAAUCAAUCAACCGAUCAUUUAAUCAAAAUGUUGUGAUUUAAAUGUAAAAUGUUUCGUUGUUAUUUAAUUGUGGCUCUGGUUGUUUAUGGGUUCAGUUCAUUUGUAAAGAGGCGGUGGCUGUUUUUGGACACUUGAAGCGAUUUAACCCACAUCUGCUCCUCGCGAACAUCAGCUCUGUCUUGCAAUAGGACGAAAGCUGAGUCUGUAGGAAGCAGCUUCUACUUGGCUUACGUGUGAUUGCACAUUGUUUUAUUUGUUAGACAUUCAGGGGGAAACGGGUUUGAUCAUAUGCAGAGUAGGGCUGCAGGUUGUAGCGUCACCCUUUAGAGCAUUUAUCUGCACCAGCUGUUACAUUAGCUUUACAGGCCCCAGCGGAGGGAAGGCUCUGCUGCUCCUCUAUUUAUAUGUUUGUGAAUGAAUGAGGGAUGUGUCCACGCUGGAGCCAAACGCUUGAGUUUGUGCAGAUCUGUGUUUGCAAAAGAGUUUAAGACCUUAAAAAUACGUCCAGAAAACGUGGAAAAAUUCAAAAACGACUUGCUUCUCUUUGCUUUCGUGUCACUUUGCUGGACUUUAAUGUUUCACGUUGUUUGUUCUUUCUCGGCCUUAGUGCGUUGUCAAAUAUUCUGGUUCAAAUUGUGCUUCCUCUAUUAGAUGGUUGUGUCAUUGUGAAAAAUGAUAGAAUACAGCCACAAUAUUAAUGUUUUACAGUAUAAAUCCUACAUAAAAUACUAAAAUAUAGUUUUAACCCAGAUUUUACUUAAGUCUUGUUGGCAGGAUUGUGGUUAAACCCCACAAUAAAUUAUUAAAUAUCUCAAAUAACAAUAAAACAAACAAAGAAACAUGGAAGCUUGACUUUCUUUAAAUUCAACACAAACUUGCACAUGAUCCAGAAUAGAAACCAGAAUCAAUCCGGCUGCUUUUAACACAUCCAAUAUCUUUGCCAGUGGAGCUAAAUCACGGCGUCAGUCGCUUCCCCUGAGUUCUGAGGCUCCAUCUCAUUAAAUUCGACCCAGUAAGGAAAUGGAUCCGAACAAAAAUAGCCUCCUUUGGGAGUUUACUCGCUCCGCUGACCUCUAAACACUCAACACGUACAGUAAUGUCUCCCUUUGGAGCCUAAAAAUAUUCAACAUUUCUCUGUUUUCUCAUAGUAGUGGAUGGUAAUUUCUGAAAGAUAACAGUGAUGCUUUUUUAACUUUUUAGUUUGCAAAGAUUAAAUAAACACGAUGUGUAAUUCAUGAGCUCUGAGCAGUUACAGCACAUGUUUAGUUUUUUGUUUACGUCGAGCCAAGCGAAUCGGAUGCUAGCUGAAAGUUAGCUUCAUAACUUUUCGACACACGGCAAAGACCAGCAGGUGGCUAGGAAGAGCUACUGUUAGCUGGGAGGCUAGGAAGAGCUGCUAUUACCUUAGAGGCAAGGAAGAGCUACUAUUAGCUCAGAGGCAAGGAAGUGUUGCUAUUAGCUAGGAGGUUAGCAAGAGUUACUAGCUGUGAGGCUAGGAAGCUGGGAAGAGCUGCUAUUAGUUGGGAGGCUAGGAAGGGCGGUUAUUAGCUGUAAGGCUAGGAAGGGCGGCUAUUAGCUCCAAGUUUAGGAAGCUAGAAAGAGCUACUAUUAGCUAGGAGGCUAGGAAGAGCUGCUAUUACCUGAGAGGCAAGGAGGUGUUGCUAUUAGCUAGGGGGUUAGCAAGAGUUACUGUUAGCUGUGAGGCUAGGAAACUGGGAAGAGCUACUAUUAGUUGGGAGGCUAUGAAGUUAACAAGAGCGACUAUUAGCUGUGAGGCUGGGAAGUGCUGCUAUUACCUGGUGGGCUAGGAAGAGUCACUAUUAGCUAGGAGGCUAGGAAGUGUUGCUGUUAGCUGGAGGCUAAGAAGUUAGGAAGUGUCGCUAUUAUCUGGGAGGUGAGGUAGCUAGGAAGAGCUGCUAUUAGCUAGGAGGCUAGGUGGCUAGGUAGAGCUAUUAGCUGGGAGGCUAGGAAGCUAGGAGUCAGAAUACAAAAUGUCUUCCACCUUCUUUAAAGCUUGCUGAAUAAAAAAUUAAUCGGUUUAAAAAACAAAUAUUUGUGGUGUUUAGCUAAGUUCCGCUACUUAGCUAUAUUUUAAUCUGAAUUCUGGCGAAAAAAAAGGAGAUAAAAAUUAUAUUAUUUUCUUCUUCUCAUGUUUUUUUGUAGUAUUUCUUUUAAGACUGUGCAGACCUACCUCUCUGAGACAGAAGUCAAACUCUUAGAGUUAUAUAGAGAAACAGCUACUAUAAAUAUAUACGUGAUCACUGAGCAGCACGGAUGUAGUUAUUUCUGAGAAAUUACAGAGAAUAUAUGACAAAGUUUAUUCAAGAAACAACUACGGCGAUACAAUCAAACAUUAAAGCUCCAUAUUUACAAGUGUUAUUAAAGUGCUUCCUAUAAAUAUUAUUUUCAAAUUAUUACGUCAUUGAAAAAGUUGUUUUCCAGAUGUGUCAGAGCAUUUAUUUGUACAUAAAUUGUAUUUAUUUAAAAGCUUAUGUUGCUUUAUUUAUGCCAUAUAUUGUCUUAAGUUAUUCCAGAGCAUAUAUACAUAUAUAUAUAUUGAUGAUUGUCACGGUUGUGCCAUGCCUGUCAUUCUGUCGUCACUUUAUAUCACAUCUAAAUAUGUCUGUUGUAUUGCCGCUCUUUUCAAACCUUUGAGCCUUCUUGUUUUUAUAUAUAUAGAUAUAUAAUAUAUUAGUAGGAACAUAAUGACAAACCGUUGUUAUGUUACAGGAAAUGUUGAGAGAGAAGCUUCCAGUUAUUUUUAUGUGGUUAAAAUUCACAUUUAAUGGUGACUUGUUCAAAAAAAUACGUGUCUUAACUUAAAGUCGUACUGUUGCCCAUUUGUUUGGUGUUAAAAGUGACACCCAGACUGUUCAUCAGCACCCAACACAGGAACUCGUGAAGCGGAGUUGUCUGUAUUCUCGUCUCUUAUUCUGUUUUGUUUUUUAAUCCUGCUUGCCUCGACUGUUCAACGUCUCAAAAGCUUCAGCGUGUCGGUGGUGACUUCCUCCUACUGAUAAAAUAAAUGUUUUGUGCCUCCACCCGCAGAAUAUAAACUGACUUCAGUCGUGUUUUACCGUCUUUA